UCUCAGUUUAAUACCUGGGACGGAAACGACUCGUUUCCUCUAUGUAUUAAUCGGAUUUUUGAACUUGGAGUAUGGUGCUGGAGCUUGCUCCACCCUGCUCACGGGUUGUCCUGGUAUUGCAGUACCUCCAGUUCGGCUCACGUUUC
rnacentral:snRNA from 1 species